UAGGGAAUCUUCCACAAUGGACGCAAGUCUGAUGGAGCAACGCCGCGUGAGUGAAGAAGGUUUUCGGACCGUAAAGCUCUGUUGUUGGUGAAGAAGGAUAGAGGUAGUAACUGGCCUUUAUUUGACGGUAAUCAACCAGAAAGUCACGGCUAACUACGUGCCAGCAGCCGCGGUAAUCGUAGGUGGCAAGCGUUGUCCGGAUUUAUUGGGCGUAAAGCGAGCGCAGGCGGAAGAAUAAGUCUGAUGUGAAAGCCCUCGGCUUAACCGAGGAAUUGCAUCGGAAACUGUUUUUCUUGAGUGCAGAAGAGGAGAGUAGAACUCCAUGUGUAGCGGUGGAAUGCGUAGAUAUAUGGAAGAAUACCAGUGGCGAAGGCGGCUCUCUGGUCUGCAACUGACGCUGAGGCUCGAAAGCAUGGGUAGCGAACAGGAUUAGAUACCCUGGUAGUCCAUGCCGUAAACGAUGAGUGCUAAGUGUUGGGAGGCUUCCGCCUCUCAGUGCUGCAGCUAACGCAUUAAGCACUCCGCCUGGGGGAGUACGACCG
rnacentral:rRNA from 1 species